rnacentral:rRNA from 1 species
UACGUAGGUGGCAAGCGUUGUCCGGAUUUAUUGGGUUUAAAGGGUGCGUAGGCGGCUUUGUAAGUCAGUGGUGAAAUAUGGCAGCUCAACUGUCAAGGUGCCAUUGAUACUGCGGAGCUUGAGUACAGAUGAGGUAGGCGGAAUUGACGGUGUAGCGGUGAAAUGCUUAGAUAUCGUCAAGAACACCUAUAGCGAAGGCAGCUUACUAGGCUGUAACUGACGCUGAGGCACGAAAAGUGUGGGGGAUCAAACAGGG